rnacentral:rRNA from 1 species
GUAGUCUCGCACAGAUGCAUAUCAAUAAGCGGAGGAAAAGAAACUAACAAGGAUUCCCCUAGUAACGGCGAGUGAAGCGGGAAGAGCUCAAAUUUGAAAUCUUAAAGGGUUUCCCUUUACGAAUUGUAGUUUAAAGAAGUGUUUUCUGUUGAGGUUUUGGUAAAAGUUCUUUGGAAUAGGACAUCAUAGAGGGUGAGAAUCCCGUAUUUGACCUUUACUUUCAACUUUGUGAUACACUUUCAAAGAGUCGGAUUGUUUGGGAAUGCAGUCCAAAAUGGGUGGUAAAUUUCAUCUAAAGCUAAAUAUUGGCGAGAGACCGAUAGCGAACAAGUACCGUGAGGGAAAGAUGAAAAGAACUUUGAAAAGAGAGUUAAACAGUACGUGAAAUUGUCAAAAGGGAAGCGUUUGACACCAGUGUUGUUUUUCUGAAAAUCAAUUAAAGAACUGUUUAUGCUAAGUUGUUUAGACUUUAUCAGCUAAUCUGCUUAGUUUUGAGCUUUUCUUUAAUGCACUUUUCAGUUAACAAGUCAACAUCAAUUUCUUUUGCUGUAAAAAAGCUUGAGGAAGGUGGCUUGAGAUUCGUCUUAAGUGUUUAUAGCCUCUUGCCUAUGCAGUCGGAGAGAUUGAGGUCUGCAGCGUAGAUCCUUCGGGGCUAAAUGCAUUUGUGCUAAGUUAUAGCAUUUCAUAGACAACUUGUUGACUAUGAUUUGUCUUGUAGCUUACUCGCUUAUGUUAUUUUACCUACGCUUAGGAUGUUGACAGCAGUAUAGACUGU